GCCCUAGUGGUGCAAUGGUCAAGGGUUCAGCUGUUAACUGAAAGGAUGGUGGUUCAAAUCCACCCAGUGGCU
rnacentral:tRNA from 1 species